rnacentral:lncRNA from 1 species
CUAAAUAUAAAUUUUAUAUUUAUUAUAAUAUUAUUAUUUUUGAUAUUUUUAUAAUUGUAUAAAAUGUAAAUAUUAUUAAUUUAUUAUUUAACUGCUGCUGCAUUUGGUAGUUAACCAGUCAUAAGUAUCCCGCAAACGCACAAAUUUCUAACCGCAGAACCAGUCGUACAAAUCUCUUAAAACCGCUAGAAACCGCAACCACCCGCAUCCGCAAACUCCCGCAACCGCAACCGUAACCGCUGCGGUUAAACCAGUCAGGCCCUUAUUUCCACGCGAACUAUAUGAUAAAAUAUUCAAAUAACAAACGUAUUUAUACAAAUGAUGGUAAAACGGGUUAAGAUAAUAGCUUGUGU